rnacentral:rRNA from 1 species
AACAACCGCGGUAAUUCCAGCUCCAAUAGCGUAUAUUAAAGUUGUUGCAGUUAAAAAGCUUGUAGUUGAAUUUCGGGGUUAGUAGGUUGGUCAUGCCUCUGGUAUGUACUGGUCUCACUGAUUCCUCCUUCCUGAUGAGCCGUAAUGCCAUUAAUUUGGUGUUGCGGGGAAUUUGGACUGUUACUUUGAAAAAAUUAGAGUGUUUAAAGCAAGCUAACGCUUGAAUACAUUAGCAUGGAAUAAUGAAAUAGGACGUUCGAUCCUAUUUUGUUGGUUUCUAGGAUUGACGUAAUGAUUAAUAGGGAUAGUUGGGGGCAUUAGUAUUCAAUUGUCAGAGGUGAAAUUCUUGGAUUUAUUGAAGACUAACUACUGCGAAAGCAUUUGCCAAGGAUGUUUUCAUUAAUCAAGAACGAAAGUUAGGGGAUCGAAGACGAUCAGAUACCGUCGUAGUCUUAACCAUAAACUAUGCCGACUAGGGAUCGGAUGAUGUUAAUUUUUUAAUGACUCA